rnacentral:tRNA from 1 species
UCCGCCAUGGUGUAAAGGCAGCACACCGGUUUUUGGUACCGAGAGUCAAGGUUCGAAUCCUUGUGGCGGAGC